GAGGGGAGUGAAAUAGAUUCUGAAACCAUUUACUUACAAGUAGUCAGAGCACGUUAAAGUGUGAUGGCGUACAUCUUGCAGUAUGGGCCGGCGAGUUAUGUUAAUAUGCAAGGUUAAGCAGAAAAAAGCGGAGCCGUAGGGAAACCGAGUCUGAAUAGGGCGACUUUAGUAUAUUGGCAUAUACCCGAAACCAGGUGAUCUAUCCAUGAGCAGGUUGAAGCUUAGGUAAAACUAAGUGGAGGACCGAACCGUAGUACGCUAAAAAGUGCCCGGAUGACUUGUGGAUAGCGGUGAAAUUCCAAUCGAACCUGGAGAUAGCUGGUUCUCUUCGAAAUAGCUUUAGGGCUAGCGUAUAGUAUUGUUUAAUGGGGGUAGAGCACUGAAUGUGGAAUGGCGGCAUCUAGCUGUACUGACUAUAAUCAAACUCCGAAUACCAUUAAAAUUAAGCUAUGCAGUCGGAACGUGGGUGAUAACGUCCACGCUCGCGAGGGAAACAACCCAGAUCGUCAGCUAAGGUCCCAAAAUUGUGUUAAGUGAGAAAGGUUGUGAGAUUUCAUAAACAACUAGGAAGUUGGCUUAGAAGCAGCCACCUUUUAAAGAGUGCGUAAUUGCUCACUAGUCAAGAGAUCUUGCGCCAAUAAUGUAACGGGACUCAAACACAAUACCGAAGCUACGGGCACAUUAUGUGCGUUAGGAGAGCGUUUUAAUUUCGUUGAAGUCAGACCGUGAGGACUGGUGGAGAGAUUAAAAGUGAGAAUGCCGGCAUGAGUAACGAUUCGAAGUGAGAAUCUUCGACGCCUAUUGGGAAAGGUUUCCUGGGCAAGGUUCGUCCACCCAGGGUUAGUCAGGGCCUAAGAUGAGGCAGAAAUGCAUAGUCGAUGGACAACAGGUUAAUAUUCCUGUACUUGGUAAAAGAAUGAUGGAGUGACGAAAAAGGAUAGUUCUACCACUUACUGGAUUGUGGGGUAAGCAACAAGAGAGUUAUAUAGGCAAAUCCGUAUAGCAUAAUCUUGAGUUGUGAUGCAUAGUGAAGACUUCGGUCGAGUAACGAAUUGAAUGAUUUCAUGUUUCCAAGAAAAGCUUCUAGUGUUAAUUUUUUAUCAACCUGUACCGAGAACGAACACACGUUCCCAAGAUGAGUAUUCUAAGGCGAGCGAGAAAACCAAUGUUAAGGAACUCUGCAAAAUAACCCCGUAAGUUCGCGAGAAGGGGCGCCUAUUUUUAAUAGGCCACAGAAAAUAGGGGGGGCAACUGUUUAUUAAAAACACAGCUCUCUGCUAAGUUGUAAAACGACGUAUAGAGGGUGAAGCCUGCCCAGUGCCCGAAGGUUAAACGGAGAUGUUAGCUUACGCAAAGCAUUAAAGUGAAGCCCGGGUGAACGGCGGCCGUAACAAUAACGGUCCUAAGGUAGCGAAAUUCCUUGUCAACUAAUUAUUGACCUGCACGAAAGGCGCAAUGAUCUCCCUACUGUCUCAACAUUGGACUCGGUGAAAUUAUGGUACCAGUGAAAACGCUGGUUACCCGCAUCAAGACGACAAGACCCCGUGGAGCUUUACUAUAACUUCGUAUUGAAAAUUGGUUUAGCAUGUGUAGGAUAGGUGGGAGACUUUGAAGCUGGGACGCUAGUUCUAGUGGAGUCAACCUUGAAAUACCACCCUUGCUAAAUUGAUUUUCUAACCCGGGUGUGGAUAGCGGUGAAAUUCCAAUCGAACCUGGAGAUAGCUGGUUCUCUUCGAAA
rnacentral:rRNA from 1 species